rnacentral:rRNA from 1 species
CUNUCUGACUUGAGUGCGGAAGGGGAGAGUGGAAUUCCAUGUGUAGCGGUGAAAUGCGUAGAUAUAUGGAGGAACNCCAGUGGCGAAAGCGGCUCUCUGNUCUGUCACUGACGCUGAGGCUCGAAAGCGUGGGUAGCGAACAGGAUUAGAUACCCUGGUAGUCCACGCCGUAAACGAUGAGUGCUAGGUGUUAGGCCCUUUCCGGGGCUUAGUGCCGGAGCUAACGCAAUAAGCACUCCGCCUGGGGAGUACGACCGCAAGGUUGAAACUCAAAGGAAUUGACGGGGGCCCGCACAAGCGGUGGAGCAUGUGGUUUAAUUCGAAGCAACGCGAAGAACCUUACCAGGUCUUGACAUCCCGAUGCUAUUCUUAGAGAUAGGAAGUUACUUCGGUACAUCGGAGACAGGUGGUGCAUGGUUGUCGUCAGCUCGUGUCGUGAGAUGUUGGGUUAAGUCCCGCAACGAGCGCAACCCUUAUUGUUAGUUGCCAUCAUUAAGUUGGGCACUCUAGCGAGACUGCCGGUAAUAAACCGGAGGAAGGUGGGGAUGACGUCAAAUCAUCAUGCCCCUUAUGACCUGGGCUACACACGUGCUACAAUGGUCGGUACAACGAGUUGCGAGCCGGUGACGGCAAGCUAAUCUCUGAAAGCCGAUCUCAGUUCGGAUUGGAGGCUGCAACUCGCCUCCAUGAAGUCGGAAUCGCUAGUAAUCGCGGAUCAGCACGCCGCGGUGAAUACGUUCCCGGGCCUUGUACACACCGCCCGUCACACCACGAGAGUUUGUAACACCCGAAGUCGGUGAGGUAACCUUUUAGGGNCCA